GAAGGUUUUUGUCAGCAGUUUCUGACAACUCCUGUCCGAGAGCCACAUGUCGAUGGACCGGGACAAUAGCAGAUAUUACCUUACCUUGGUUUGAAUGAGAGAAAUAUCGUUUUUCAACCAGAUGGAUAUCCUGUUUAUUCUAUUUUUUGCGGGUUUCCUAAGACAAACGACUGCACAGUUACAAAGUAGCUAUUCAAUCUAUCCGGAUUCUUCAAGCCUCUACAUCCAAUCUAGCGAGCACCUAUAUAGCACAGUCAACUCCGUCUUUACCUUUGUCAUCGUCAAUGACAAUGUCGACUUCAAGCCAGCAGUCAACUUUAACUCUAACAAGUUUAUCUGGAUUAUCAUCAAUGUCCACUUCAAGCUUGCUAUCAACUUCGUUUCUAUCCAGUUCACAGGUGAUAUCGACAAUGACAAUGUCCACUUCAAGCCUGCAGUCAACAUUAUCCCCUUCCAAUCCUCUUCAAUAUCAUCGGUUUCUUCAUCCAACGUUUACACAACCACUACACCGUCAGUAGCUGUGACCACAGACCCGCCCACUGUCACUCUCGCCCCCACCGUCGUGGCUGAGAGAGAACUGUCCCUGGAUGGAACCACCCUGGAGCCAGUGAUGAAGUGCACGUUUCCAGAACCCGCCGCGCCGAGCGAGCUGCGUUAUAACAUACAGUGGUCCAUUAAUAACGCCAACUUGGCCAAUGCCAGCUUCACUCUCAUUGAUUACGGAAACUUGGGCAAAAAUGCAGCUUUAAGACCAGAUCACUGGACCAGAACAUAUACAUUAAAUAUGAAUGUGUUCUGUAAAGUUAGUGCGCAGUACACAAACAGUGCCCCUGGCUCCAUAUAUACCAGCCCCACCUUCUUCGCUGGUUUACAGAUAAACCAAACACAUGUGAAUGUGGAUGAGGGUCAGACAGUGGCUAUUGAGGUCAAAAGCACGCUUCCCACGGCCUGCAGCGCCUCACUGUCAGCAUCAGAGAGGGAAAGCAACUGCAAGGGGACGCUGCACAUCCGGACCGAGGAGUACUGGUCAUGGUGCUGGAACGGAGUCAAGUACCUGUCGGCGGCUUUUCCGGACAAUGGGUGCCGACUCCAAUUCUCUUACAACUACUGGUACGAGCCAGUUCAACUCAACAUCACAGGAUAUAUGGACGGAAUGAGGAAUUGGUGGUACAAAUAUACCAGGGUCAAGUUAGAGCCCGGAUUAGACAGUAAUCACUUGGCAUGGAAGAGCAUGCAGUUCGACGAUACCGUUAGCGUCUACGUUUACGACAAGGACACCAGUGGAGGGGGAAUAUGCGGUUCCUAUAGCGACCCACACAUGCAAACCUUUGACGGGAGAUAUUGGGGGAACCAGCGAGUGGGGGAGUUCGUUAUGUACAGACACAAAACAAAGCCACUAUCCGUGCACGCUUUAUUUUCCGCCUGUGUCCCAUGGUACGCGACUUGUAAUUGUGGAGUUGCCAUAAAAAGCGGGGAAUCCCUGUACGUCGUGCGCACGUGUACAACGCUGUCGGCCAGUAAAACGAAUCUCCUAAGUUACCCCUUCGAAUUAAUGGACGGCUGCGACCCAGACGCAAUAGCUGUGCAGAAGACCGGAAGCAGAUAUCGGGUGACUCUUCCCAACGGACUUGAAGUGACGUUUGCAAUCAGUUCUUGGCAAAACUGGAUAUCUUACGUACAAAUCGUGGCACCCACGGCUGACUUCGAUCAGACCGAGGGACUGUGUGGGUCAUUUAACGGGGAUAGCUCAGACGAUUUUAUCCCUAAAGGACAGCAGAGCCCUGUCGCAGACGAGAAAACGUUCGCCUUGACGUGGAGGGUAAGAAAAGGUUCAUCGGACAGUCUUUUCAUCAACAAGCCGACAUUAAGCAACUAUUCUCCACCGUCCGUGACAUCCACUGCCCCCUCGACCUACUACUGCACGUGCUCCUCCUACUUGUCCGUCGCACGGAAUCCUAAUUACCCACACUGUAAGCUGGAGUCUCCCACAGAGCCGUGCUCCGACACACAGAGUCAGGUUGUUAACGUCUGCAACCAGAGCAGACGUAGGAGAAGUACGUUCGGGUCAGAUGACGUCAUCGACUCGCCGUCAUUUUCUUACGACGCCGAUUACGAGCAGGAGUUACUGGUCGCUGACUGGAGAAAUGGAUGGAACGAGACAGCCGCCACCGAUUUCUGCACUAACGCCUUUAGUGGAGACCCCGCCGUCGCCGUCUGUGUAGAAAAGGUCAACACCAGCAUCUCAGAGUACUCUAACAGCUGUAUCACAGACAUCAAGCUCCAGGGAGAUACGGACUUCCUCAAAGCGACUCUAGAUACGCUGAAAAAGAAGUGCGUCACAACGGCGUCACGUGACGAGAGUUUCCAGCAGACGAACAAUACCUCUAGCGGCGUGAGCAUUCUCGAGACGAUUACCUCCCUUAGCUGCCCCAACAACUGCUCUGGAAAGGGAUCGUGUGCCAAUGAGACGUGUAGCUGUAACGAUGGGUACAUUGGCGAGGAUUGCUCUCAGAGCCUGCAGACCCCGCCCGAUCAGAUCAGCGUGCCCUCCUAUGGUCUCUGCGACCAACGGUACCGACCGUGUCAGACCCAGAACAUCAUCGGAGUCUUCCAUAAACAACCGGUUGCCCUAGCUGAGCAUUUCAAAGCUACAGAAAACGGCAAAGAAUACACAAAUUUUUCCGUCAUGGCAAACGUGACGUAUCGCCAGAUGAAUUUGAUAACCGUUACCAUACCAACGGUCCCUUCGUCGUCAAGGAAACGACGGUCCACAGACGGGUCUAUCGACGGAUGGGACAUAAGCUUCAGCUACGACAACUCGACCUUCAGCAACGCCACCUCCAUUGUGGUAUACAAUGGAGCCACCGAGUCAUGUGACUACACGACAUACACGUGCACCAAGUUGGCAGUAGCACCGGAAACAGAGGAGAGCAGCUCGAUGACGGCGGCGAUAGCGGGUGCGGUGGUUGGUGUGGUGGCGGUGGCGGUUAUCGUGGGAAUGGUGGUUUACAUCAAGGUCAUCAAAAAGAAAAGACCACAGUCUGCGAAAGUGUCAAACCAGGAUAGAGAAAUGCUGACCCGUGGAGCAGAGGAGGGGGGUUCCCCUCGCCCCCCGUCCGUCAACACCUGGGUGUCAACCAGAAAAUAAUAACAGGACUCCAACUGAAACUAAACGAGAAUCUCCAGCAGCUAAUUAGCAUGUUUAGACGUUUAUAGCAUUUAUAGCCUCCACAGGCGAGACGACUCGGUAAAGUGUCUUUACCAUGAGAUAUGUUUUAUUUCAUUUUUGAAAAAAAAAAUCAAUUUAGUGAUGUAUUCUUUGUUAAUAUUUUUAUGGAGUUGUUCUUUGAGUUAUUCAUGUUUUGUAUGAAAAACUUUUUCCUAAUAGCUUUGAUCGAUGGGUACGAUUUUUAUGUGAAUUAAUGAGGUCCAUUUUACACGCAUGGGACAAGUGACGUUUUAGUUUUCAUAAUUGUUUAUAACUGAAUUGUUCUACAGAUAACAAGAGGAUAAUCAUUUUUUUAUGAACAUGACGCAAUGCGUUACUAGUGCUCUAAUUUCUGGCUUUGUUGAUGCUGAAUGUGUCUUUGUGCUUUUAAUGACAGCCAUCAGGACACCAAAAUGUUGAACUGAAACCCAAGGGAGAGGCAUUUAACUUUAUAGAGGGCGUGGUCGCCAUCAUAGUAAACUAUUAAUAAUUAAUAACUUUAUUUUGUGAGAACAGUAAUCAAUAGGUUGAUCAUUUUCCACCGCAACAUAUGAUAGACUGGGUAUUUAUAUCGGUUAAUAGGCACUUCCUCCUUAUGCAUCGAAAUUUCAAAACAUCUUGUUUUAUUCGUCAAAAAUAUCGAAAUGAUUUAUAUUCAAUUUCCAGUGCGAUUCAUUACAGCGUUUUUCUUAAUGUGUUAUAAAUUCAAAUUUUCCUGUUGCAAAAUGAUUUUUCUGUAUGUAUUCAGUCACCUAGAGCGAAGGAUUUUGAGCAUGCAAUAUAAUCUUGAUUUACAUGAACUACUAGUAUAUGUGUCCAUGCAAUUAGCCGUCCAAGUUAAACUCAUGAAAUAUCAAAAUGAUUCAUAUUCAGUCGCCCGUGAGUUUUUCUUAAUGUGUUUUAAAUUCAAAUCUGGUUAUUAAAUGAAUUUGAUGUAUGUAUCCAGUGACGAUGCAGUAGGGCGUGUGAUAUAUUGAUUUCACGUGCACUGUGUAUUUCUGUCCAAUUAGCCGUCCAAAUUAAACUCAUGAAAUAUGAUCCCUCCGUCCAUUUUGAGAUCUACAUAUGUAGCAAUAAUACUGGUUACUUUCUAUGAUAUGUUAUUGUGAUAUUUUGAUUUUGUAAUUUUUAUGAAUAUGUUUCAAUAUUUUCAUAUCUCUGUUAACAGCUGGUCUGUGUAUUAAUACAUUGAUAUGAAAUAUUUUUUUUAAUUGGAAUGUUUAUGCUUAUGAGGGGUGUACUUAAUUUAAGAAUAAAUGUAUUCACAUUUAUCACUGGCAAUCAAUAGGGAAAAAAACCAUCAAUUGUGCAUGUAAUAUUUUUGUUUGUACAAUUUCACCAUGCCAUUGAAAAUAGCCAACUGUUCUCUUCAAUAUAAUAAUUAUCUGAAUGCACUGAUAUUCUUUGUUUCUCUUGAUGGACAUUUUUUUGCAAACCCGUGAACGUUGUCCAUUGCUUUCAGAUUAAAACCAAAUGACCUUUUUUGUUGAAUAUAUUAGUGUGUAUAGAGUAUGAUAUGUAAUGUACCGUUAACGUUGAAGCAUAAUGCCUUGCUAAUACAUCUCACUUCGUAAAAGAAAAACAACCAUUUUGUUUCUAUUCUAAAGAAAUGGCGCCUGGGCAAAGGCUGACAUAAUAAGGGUGACAUUGCAAUAUAUAUAACACUUGCAUAGUAAAGUUACGAUGUAAUGAAAAUUGGAGAAAAACGGAUUGUAUGCACAUAAACAUUCAGUUUAAUUUCUGUAAUUUUAGUAAAAUUUACAUGAAGUUUGAUUCCGUCCGCUGCU
rnacentral:sRNA from 1 species